rnacentral:lncRNA from 1 species
CUUCUUCAUCGUUCUUGCAGUUUUGUGGAAACGUGAAGGAGUUUCCUAAAACAGGCUGGACAUCUGCAGACAAACGGGUAAAAACAGCGACGACGAGCAGCGAGCCUAACAUAUCUGACUGAGCACCGGUCAGAAAGUCAAGUGCUUCAAGAGUCCCCCACCGGCACCACCCCUCAAAUGAGAGCUGAGGACGUUUGCCCCACAAAGGGCAGGCGUGGAGAGGAGAGGGCGGUGUAGCAGGUGCUGUAUUCAGCUGACAUGAUGAUGCUGCUCAUCUUCAUCUCCAGCUGUGUGGGUGGAGCAGCAGCAGAGGUGGAGGCUGAGGGUGGUGUGGAUGAUCAGGAGCUUCACUCUGAGUCCUGACCUCCUCCUUGUGCUUCAGUGACUUCUGCCUCAAUAAUUUGGUCACCAUGGCGACCAGCUGGAUGAUUGGAGUCCCUCCUCUCACUUUCUGAGGUCAGUGGUCACUGUUAGGGUUCAGUCUGUGAAAGUGAGGAGUUUGUCCACUGUGUGUAUAUUUUAACCCUUAACAAACUUUAUUUACUCCAUUUAAAAGACAAAAAGUAGAGUGUUGUGUUCAUGACCAGGUAAAAUUAAAAAACAAAACCUGUAAUGAUGAUGUUAGAUCGGCCUUCACAGAGCCCCGACCUCCAGCCAUGACUAUAAAGACCUUUCCACACUGAGCUUGUCUUGUUUUAAUGAACAAUAUGUGCUCAUAAAAAACCCACUGUGAAAAAAUGUAGUCGACAUCCAGUGAUGAUGAGCUGAUGUUUCUAAACAGGAAAAGGAGGAAACUGAGAUUCUGGGUUCAUCUGAUUCUCAGCAGCAGACAGAAUUUCAUGGUUUGAUCC